AACUCUCAGUAAUGGGUAUCUCGGCUCUCGCAUCCAUGAAGAACAUAGUGAAAUGCGAUACUUGGUGUAAAUUGCAGAAUCUCGUGAACCAUCGAGUCUUUGAAUGCAAGUUGCGCCCGAAGCCAUUAGGUUAAGGGCACGUCUGCCUGGGCGUCU